rnacentral:misc_RNA from 1 species
AAGUCGUAACAAGGUUACCUUCUAGCAGCUCGCUUCGGAGACCUUGCACCCUUUAAGGGAGGCAGCACGACAAUAAAGAAAGCUCGCCGCAUGCAAGUCAACUACGGUUGGCAACACAAUUGAACUGGCGGGGACUUCCUAAAGCUUAUAACACCAACCGCCCGGGGAAACUCGGGCGGGGCCCUCGCGGGGUGGUAACAGAUUAUAAGAUAGUGCAAUGGAUAAUCCGCAGCGAAUACCCUACCGGUGAAAGCCUACGGGUGUCGUCCACAGA